GUGCUUACUUUGGCAGCACAAAUACUAAAAUUGAACCCAUACAGAGAAGAUUAGCAUGGCCUCUCCCCAGUGAUGACACAAAAAUUCGUGAGGCAUUUCAUAUUUUU